CCUACGGGAGGCUGCAGUGGGGAAUAUUGGACAAUGGGCGAAAGCCUGAUCCAGCCAUGCCGCGUGUGUGAAGAAGGCCUUCGGGUUGUAAAGCACUUUCAGUGGGGAAGAAAGCCUUGGGGCUAAUACCCUCGAGGAAGGACAUCACCCACAGAAGAAGCACCGGCUAACUCCGUGCCAGCAGCCGCGGUAAUACGGAGGGUGCGAGCGUUAAUCGGAAUUACUGGGCGUAAAGCGCGCGUAGGCGGUCUGAUAAGCCGGUUGUGAAAGCCCCGGGCUCAACCUGGGAACGGCAUCCGGAACGGUCGGGCUAGAGUGCAGGAGAGGAAGGUAGAAUUCCCGGUGUAGCGGUGAAAUGCGUAGAGAUCGGGAGGAAUACCAGUGGCGAAGGCGGCCUUCUGGACUGACACUGACGCUGAGGUGCGAAAGCGUGGGUAGCAAACAGAAUUGAUACCCCGGUAGUC
rnacentral:rRNA from 1 species